UCGGGAAUUUUGGGCAAUGGGCGAAAGCCUGACCCAGCAACGCCGCGUGAGGGAUGAAGUAUUUCGGUAUGUAAACCUCGAAAGAAUGGGAAGAAUAAAUGACGGUACCAUUUAUAAGCUCCGGCUAACUACGUGCCAGCAGCCGCGGUAAUACGUAGGGAGCAAGCGUUGUUCGGAUUUACUGGGCGUAAAGGGCGCGAAGGCGGCGCGGUAAGUCACUUGUGAAAUCUCUGAGCUUAACUCAGAACGGCCAAGGGAUACUGCUGUGCUAGAGUGCGGAAGAGGCAACCGGAAUUCUUGGUGUAGCGGUGAAAUGCGUAGAUAUCAAGAGGAACACCUGAGGCGAAGGCGGGUUGCUGGGCCGACACUGACGCUGAUGCGCGAAAGCCAGGGGAGCAAACG
rnacentral:rRNA from 1 species